UCUUUCUUCGUCGUAAACGCGGUCUGAUUUCGAAAAGAGAAAACAUAGUGACCAUUGAAUCCAGUUAGCAAAAUGCUCAUGAGAGUUAUACUAGUAAGGUAUCUUUGAGUUGUGCAAUAACAAAAGCACCCAUCAAUAGCAACCCCGGUCGUUCGACGUAGGACCAACUUCGCGAUCGGGUCACGAAUAUCAAAGCCUGGCUGACAAUACUCACUUGCAGGAGCGGAGGCGGAGAAAAGGAUCGAGAAGAAACUUACUGGGAAGAAUUCUGUCUCUCUCAUUACCCAGAAGAAUAUGAUAGUCAUCAAUGCUAAGUAACCACCAAGCAUAAUGCCUGUUGCAAAUAUCUCUUUCAAUUUCCAACUAUCAGAAGUAUUAGAUUCACAUUGAAGAAGAGAAUACUGACCAUCAUUUAGAAUGGCAAUGAUCAAAACCAUGAAUGGGGAGAAGUCAAAUUUCCAUAUGAGGGCAAUAAACAAGAAACCAAACUGUUCAUUGGCAAAGCAAAAUUUCAUCAACUCUACUUGUAAGGACGGCACUGAUGAUAACGCUCAAGCCUGGCUCUGUGAGAACAAUAUCAGAAGCACUUCUCGCAGCAUCAGUAGCAUCAGCAACUGCAAUUCCAAUGUCAGCCUUCUUCAGUGCAGGAGCAUCGUUC